GCGGCCUCCAUCUAAGCUCUCUUCCCCUUGUCCAUAGCCUAGAUCGAGCUCCCUGUGUGCACCGCGCGCUGCCCGAGGCGCAGGUCAACCAGAAUCAAGAUGUCUGGGACUGAGGAAGCAAUUCUUGGAGGACGUGACAGCCAUCCUGCUGCUGGCGGCGGCUCGGUGUUAUGCUUUGGACAGUGCCAGUACACAGCAGAAGAGUACCAGGCCAUCCAGAAGGCCCUGAGGCAGAGGCUGGGCCCAGAAUACAUAAGUAGCCGCAUGGCUGGAGGAGGCCAGAAGGUGUGCUACAUUGAGGGUCAUCGGGUAAUUAAUCUGGCCAAUGAGAUGUUUGGUUACAAUGGCUGGGCACACUCCAUCACGCAGCAGAAUGUGGAUUUUGUUGACCUCAACAAUGGCAAGUUCUACGUGGGAGUCUGUGCAUUUGUGAGGGUCCAGCUGAAGGUGAGGGGGAUGGAGUAGACCUGCUGCCUGGAAGGAUCAGUGGGUGGUAGGAGAAGGACGGUUCAUAUCAUGAAGAUGUUGGUUAUGGUGUCAGUGAGGGCCUCAAGUCUAAGGCUUUGUCUCUGGAGAAGGCGAGGAAGGAGGCGGUGACCGACGGGCUGAAGCGAGCCCUCAGGUGAGCACGAGGCUGGGAGUCUAACCUGCGUCAUUUCAGCUCCUGCUUCAGAGCAGGUUUCGAUUUUUUUUGGAAGAGUUAAUACAUCCACAUGGUUCAAAAAUCUAAGCAGCAUGGAAGAUAAGUCUCACCCCUGCCCUGGUUCCUGUCUGCCCUGUUUUCCCACUUUUGUUAGUAUGUUUUCAAUGUUUCUGUUUCAGGCUUCCCUUGCUGGGAAUAAGUGGUAGAAUCCUGUAUUCUCUCUUCUCCGCGCACUCAGUAGCGUGUGCCGGAGGCCUUCCCACUCCUACUGCGAGUGCACAGACCACACCCUCAUCCUCUCCGUGCUCCUCAGCAGUCCUCCGCUACGCACAGGAGUUUUGGGAACGCACUUGGAAACUGUAUUCUGGACAAAGACUACCUGAGGUCACUAAAUAAGCUUCCACGCCAGUUGCCUCUUGAAGUGGAUUUAACUAAAGCGAAGAGACAAGAUUUUGAACCGUCUGUGGAAGAGGCAAGAUAUAACAGCUGCCGACCGAACAUGGCCCUGGGACACCCACAACGACAGGAGGUGACCUCCCCUUCCAGACCAAGCCAUGUUGUGAUACAGGCGGACAAGGACUGCAGCUCCCGAAGCCUCCCCUCAUCCGCCGUGGAGAGCGAGGCCACGUACCAGCGGAAGCUCCGGCAGAAGCAGCUGCAGCAGCAGUUCCGGGAGCGGAUGGAGAAGCAGCACGUUCACGUGUCCGCGCCGUCAGCUGAGAAGAGUGAGGCAGCGCCUCCAGCCCCUCCUCUGACGCAUAGCACACCUGUAACUGUCUCAGAACCACUCCCGGAGAAAGACUUCCUUGCAGGAAUGACUCAAGAACUAAUCAGUAAAUACCUUGAAAUGCUUAGACUCUUGAAGACAACUCUGAAAAGUGGGCUGUGACUCCAGAUGCAGGGGAUGGUGUGGUCAAGCCCUCGUCUAGAGCAGACCCAGCCCAGACCUCUGACACGCUAGCCUCGAACAACCAGAUGGUGACCCAGAACAGGACUCCACACAGCCUCUGCCACCAGAAACCACAAGCAAAAUCUGGAUCUUGGGACCUCCAAACUUAUAGCACUGACGAGCGCAUAACAGGAAACUGGGAAUCUCAUAGGAAGAGCCAGGACAUGAAGAAAAGGAAAUAUGAUCCAUCUUAACUGAGGCUGAGGCCACAUGAUAGGACUCUGUCACAAAGGGACUUUGGAAAACUACUUUUUGGUCAUGAAAUUGUUCAUCACUCCUGGAGAAUGAACUUCAUUGCAAUUUAUCUUGCUUCAUUCUGAACCUUAUCAAGAGGAUCUGACUGAGAGCCCACUGCAGUUAGAGCUGAGCACUUGUGAAAAGCUUGUCUGCCACUCUAGUAGGGAGAGGCUCUGGACAGAUGAAUACCUUUUCUUCGGCUUGUGAGGCUUCCCACUAUUUAUUACUAAAGUAUUAUGUUAAUAAAGAUGGACAUUCUAGGAAUCACCAGUGGCUCUUUGCCCUCAAGCAAUAUAGGCCGGACUUGGUCCUAAGCACCUGCCUCAGCAAUUGCCUACAUUCAGUUGUUUUGCAUAACGUCUGCCUUCUUUCCUUUAGGGUCCAUGCCUUUAAUGCUGUCCACAUUAAGCACUGUGGAUCACGACAGGAAAAAGGUUGGAACAGUGCUUUUCACUACUUUGUAUCACUCCAGGCUACGAUCUUCACUUAAUAUAAAUAAACUCUUAAUUUAUGGGUUUAUGACAUUACAAUCCUGCAUUCUUUCAAGACUUCAAGACUGACAUUUUUUCCUAAGGAAGGAAAUAAUCAAUCAUCUAAGACCACGAAAAAA
rnacentral:sRNA from 1 species